AAUCCCCUGCGGUGUUCGAGCGCUGCCCAUGCACUCCUUGAACCAAUGCCUUUGGGCAAGGUCGCUUUGACGUCCAUUCGGGCCCGUGUGCGUUCCCAUGCGGAAGCGCCUGACGGCCCGGGCUCGGCGACCACCUUGAACCUCGGUUCAGGGUCGGGGCAGCACGGCACAGGCGGGGACCCU
rnacentral:other from 1 species